AGCGUUUAGCGGCGGACGGGUGAGUAACACGUGGGCAACCUGCCCUGCAGAUCGGGAUAACUCCGGGAAACCGGUGCUAAUACCGAAUAGUUUGAGGCCUCUCCUGAGGCUUCACGGAAAGACGGUUUCGGCUGUCACUGCAGGAUGGGCCCGCGGCGCAUUAGCUAGUUGGUGGGGUAACGGCCCACCAAGGCCACGAUGCGUAGCCGACCUGAGAGGGUGACCGGCCACACUGGGACUGAGACACGGUCCAGACUCCUACGGGAGGCAGCAGUGGGGAAUUUUGGACAAUGGGCGAAAGCCUGAUCCAGCAAUGCCGCGUGAGUGAAGAAGGCCUUCGGGUUGUAAAGCUCUUUUGUCAGGGAAGAAACGGUUCGGGCUAAUAUCCUGGGCUAAUGACGGUACCUGAAGAAUAAGCACCGGCUAACUACGUGCCAGCAGCCGCGGUAAUACGUAGGGUGCAAGCGUUAAUCGGAAUUACUGGGCGUAAAGCGUGCGCAGGCGGUUUUGUAAGUCUGACGUGAAAUCCCCGGGCUUAACCUGGGA
rnacentral:rRNA from 1 species